UACGGUGUAAACCUGACUGCUCUUCACAGUGUUGCAGUGGAUGAGUUUUUCAAGCAGCCUGUAGUGGACACGUUUGAUGUGCAGGUCCUGAUGGCUAGGUCUGUCAAGCACUGCAUCAACUUCAUGGAGGUUAAAGAUGAAGAUUUUAAAAGAAUAGAGAUUCCCUUUGUGUUUACGCUGCUGCAGUCUGGUCUGGUCCAUGGACUUGCAUUCUGGUUUGAUGUGGCCUAUUUGGGAUCCAAGU